rnacentral:rRNA from 1 species
UACGAAGGGGGCUAGCGUUGCUCGGAAUCACUGGGCGUAAAGGGUGCGUAGGCGGGUCUUUAAGUCAGGGGUGAAAUCCUGGAGCUCAACUCCAGAACUGCCCUUGAUACUGGCGGUCUUGAGUUCGGGAGAGGUGAGUGGAACUGCGAGUGUAGAGGUGAAAUUCGUAGAUAUUCGCAAGAACACCAGUGGCGAAGGCGGCUCACUGGCCCGGUACUGACGCUGAGGUGCGAAAGCGUGGGGAGCAAACAGG